rnacentral:lncRNA from 1 species
CUCCUUCCCUUCCUUCCUUCCUUUCUUUCUUUCUUUCUUUCUUUCUUUCUUUCUUUCUUUCUUUCUUUCUUCCUUUUUCUUUCUUUCUUCCUUUCUUCCUUUUUCUUUCUUUCCUUCUUCCCUUCUUCCCUUCUUCCUUCCUUCCUUCCUUCCUUCCUUCCUUCCUUCCUUCCUUCCUUCCUUCCUUCCUUCCUUCCUUCCUUCCUUCCUUCCUUCCUUCCUUCCUUCCUUCCUUCCUUCCUUCCUUCCUUCCUUUUCCCCUUGCCUUCUGUAUUAGAAUCGAUACUCUGUAUUGGUUCCAAGUCAGAAGAGCAGUAAGGGCUAGGCAAUGGAAGGUUGAAGUGACUUGCUCAUGCUCACACAGCUAGGAAGUGUCUGAGGCUAGAUUUGAACCCAGGACCUCCCAUCCCCAGGCCUGUUCUCACUCCCCUGAGUCACCUACUUGUCUCUCCU